GAAGUAAUUCCAAGUAUCAGUUAAUUUUAUUAUUUUUUAAGCGAUUGCCUUACCCCUGCUAAGGGUGUAGGUCGGGCAACUGGCGCGGAGGUUCAAAUCCUCUCUACUCCGCCA
rnacentral:tRNA from 1 species